AUGGAUCCGGCAACGGGCGCCAUGGCCUCCCUGCUUCCCAAGCUAGUUGAGCUCCUGGACGAGAAGCACCGGCUGCAAGCGAGCAUCAGGGAAGACGUCAGGUAUCUCUACCGAGAGUUGCAGAGGAUGCAGACUAUCCUGACUAUCCUCCUGGUAUCUCAACCGUGGCACCCGUACCAGGGCGCCAGGAAGCUCUGGGCAGAUGACGCCAGGAAGCUGUCCUACGACAUGGAUGUUGUCCUCGACAAGCUGCUGGUGCUCGCCCCCGACUCGCAAGGCUUUAAGGGGCUCAUGGAGAAGAUGAGCAGCUUGCUCAACAAAGGCAAGACUAGCCACCAGAUCAUGACCAGCGCAAUCAGGACCAGCAAGGCUCGAGUCCGAAUGAUGGCCGACAGAUGUCAACGCUACGGGAUUUAUGCUGCUGUUGAUUAUAGCCUUGCAGCCAUGACCAGCGUUGAUCCUCGUCUCAUGGCUCUGUACGCAAGAGUGCCAGAUCUUGUCGGCAUUGAGGGGGAAAAAGAUGAAGAGCUCAUCAAGUUACUGUCACAUGGGGACAACGUGUCCAUCAGAAACCUCAAGAUAGUCUCUAUUGUUGGAUUUGGAGGAUCGGGCAAAACAACUCUCGUCAAAACAGUGUAUGACAAGAUCCAAAAGAGUUUUGACCGCAAAGCAUUUGUUCCAGCUGGUCAGAAUGCUGACGUGAAGAAGGUUUUGGCGGGCAUCAUCGUUGAUCUCACCAGAAAUUACCCCAACAAACUGAACCAAAAACAGCUCAUCGAAAAACUUCAGGAAAUCCUUGAGAACAAGAGGUACCUCAUUGUGAUAGAUGAUAUAUGGAACGAAAAUCUGUGGGAAGAUAUCAAGUAUGCUUUCUCUAACAAGAAUGUUCUUGGCAGCCGAAUAAUCACUACAACCCGCAUAGCGAGUGUAUCUAAAGCAUGUUGCUUGUCCAGUAAUGAUUCAAUUUAUCAAAUGGAACCUCUAUCUGAUGAUGACUCCAAAAAACUAUUGUAUGGGAGAAUACUUGGUUCUGUGAAUAGUUCUCACGAAAUCAAACAAUUAUAUAGUGAUAUCUUGAAGAAAUGCGGCGGGGUACCUUCAGCCAUCAUUGCUAUGGCUUCUGUUUUGGGUGGUGGUCCGUGGAUAGACCCAAAGGUUGAAUGGCAGGCAUUGCUCAAGCCUAAUGGCCGUGGACUUGAAAAAGAUAUGAGAUGGAAGAAUAUGCAGAUGAUACUUUCCUUUAGCUACUAUGAUCUUCCUCCGCAUUUGAAGACUUGCUUAUUGUACUUUAGCACAUUCCCUGUGACUCACCCGAUCGAAAAAGAUCGUUUGGUGAAAAAAUUGAUAGCGGAAGGGAUUGUUACUCAGGAGACUAAGUUGAUUGGAUCAUCGAAUAGAAAAGAGGCUAAGCUGAGUCAGGAGCUUAGUCUAGAAGAAGCAGCAAGCCAGUACUUGGAUGAGCUCAUCAAUAGGAAUGUUAUUCAGCCCCUGGAAUGCAACAACAAUGGUGAGAUAAUAAGCUACCAUAUCCACCCUAUGAUGCAUGACGUCCUUAAAGCCAUAGCCGUAGGAGAGAGGUUUGCUGCUUCGCUUGAUGGCAAAGAUAUUUCAAGGGCACAUCGUGUGAGCUUCCGUCACCUCUCUAUUGACUGUCCAGAUUCAGAAAAUCUAAUUGAUCUAUCAAGUAUGGCCUUUGUUGGUGUGGUUCACUCCUUAACUGUAUUUGGUCAUGCAAACCAAUUUCUGCUUAGGCACUUCGAAGGCAUUCGAGUUUUGGAUUUAGAAGGCUGCAAGAGUAUAGAGAGAGCUGAUCUGGAGUACAUAUGCAGCAUGGUCAAGUUGAAGUGGUUGUGCCUUGCAAAGACACAAAUCACAGAGCUCCCACCACAAAUUGGCAAACUACGGAAUCUGAAGGGGCUUGAUGUAGGAGGGACUCAACUCACUGAGCUCCCAACACAAAUAGGUAACUUACAAUAUCUGGAGAGACUAGAUGUAAGAGGGACUCAAAUCACCCAGCUCCCACCACAAAUUGGUGAGCUACAGCAUCUGAAGACCCUAGAUGCAAGGAAGUCACGAGUUAAGGAAUUACCUGAUCAAGUUGUCUGGCUCACAGGACUGGUCCACCUGCUUAUUGGUGACAAUGAAUCCAAUGAAGGAGUGAAGUUACCUGUUGGAAUAGGGAAGAUGACAUCACUGCAGCAGCUCUGCACCAUUGAUUUGAGGAAAUGUUCAUCAUCCACUCUGAAGGAGCUUGUUGAGCUCCCGUGUCUCAAAGAGAUUGCUGUAGUGUUAAGUGAUGAGCCGGAAGACACAAGAAUGAACGAUGCGCUGUUGUCUUCCCUUGACAAGUCAACCGAGCUGAGAUCCCUGAUGGUGUGUAGUGAUUUCAGAUUGAACACACUACAGUCAUCAUCAACGUACAAAUAUCUCAUCUGCCGGAAGAAACUUACUGUGGUAAGAAGAUCGUUGAAGGUUCCGAUUGUUAUUGCAGGGCAUCAGUUUAUCGGUAUGCUGGAUAUCAGGGUCUGCAAGCUAGAGGAGGAUGAUCUCAAGAUACUCCGAGAGCUGCCUAGAUUGCAAAGCCUCAUUGUGCGGCUUGAAGUCCUUCCGACAAAAAUGAUAUGCAUCAGCUGUGAGGGGUUUGCAAAGCUUGAGAGUUUCUAUGUUGAUUGCCGAAUGCCAAGGGUAAUCUUUGAGGAAGGAGCGAUGCCAAAGCUGGAACAUCUUGAGCUUAAGCUGUAUGCUGGAUCAGCUAGUGAAGACCAUAUGGGUAUCAAACACCUCUUAAACCUUCAAAAGGUUACUCUCCGAUAUUCCAAAUGGCAUGCAACCAAUGAGGGCGUCAAGAAGAAAAAUGAUGCCAUGAAAACCGAGGCCAAGGAGCACCAGAACAAGCUCAUUCUCUGUACUGUUGAGGAGAACAAAGACGGUACCUGCACCAUGGAGACUGAGAUAUUUCAAGAGAACAAAGAUGCUAGUUGCAGUAAGAUGAUUGAGAUUGAAGAAGAAGAUGGGCUUGCGGAUGGAAAUGGCUAUUUUCCCAACAGCAACGACACGCAAGAGAUAGACCUUCAUCAGAGCAGCCGUGCUAUAGCUUGCAGCAGCGGGACCAGAGAGAUCGAAGAAGUUGUGGAGUAG
rnacentral:rRNA from 1 species